GGGGAUAAAGAAAUGCAAUCACAAGUAGGGUUGCUCUCUUGAGAUCAUAUGGAUGAUCCAAGUAAGUCCCAUCCUUUGGAAUAAGGCAACACAAGGUAUAAACAAUAAGCAAAUCUCAUAAGAAAACCACAGAAAGAGGAAACAGAAUGCCAAUCAAUGGACUUACAUCCAACUCCUAACAACAAAAUAGGAAACAGAAUGCCAAUCAAUGGACUUACAUCUAACUCCUCAACACAAAACUGGAAACAGAAUGCCAAUAGAUGGACUUACUCCCGGCUCCUAACAAACAAACAUCAAAAGCAAACACAUGCAAAGCAAUCAAGCAAACAAUGCAUCACACACUAUAUACAAACAAGAGGCUUCAAACCAAGGGUGGGCUUUAGUCAAGAGAGGUCAUAUCAACCUCGACAAACAAGCCAAACUGUACAAGUGUAAUUUGUGAGCUCUUAACCACUAACAUUGAGAGUUAGGGUGAAGCUGAUGAAAAUGGAAAUGAGGAUGAGACCUCAUGCUCUUAACCCUGGCCUGGGUGAGCUUAUAAUAAAGAAAGCAUGGGGAUCCAGAAUGUGGGAUCCUAUUCCACUUGACAGACACUAAAC
rnacentral:lncRNA from 1 species